GCCGGGUUGUGACAAAAACUCACACUCAUUCUCAUGUUUAAUGAAUGUAUUGUAUAGUGUCUGUGUGUGGCAGGCACUGACCCUGGUGCUAGAGGGGGUACAGCUGGAGGAUGAAUGUUUGAAGGGGUAUGCAGCUGGAGGAUGAAUGUUUGAAGGGGUACGCAGCUGGAGGUUGAAUGUUUGAAGGGGUACGCAGCUGGAGGUUGAAUGUUUGAAGGGGUACGCAGCUGGAGGUUGAAUGUUUGAAGGGGUACGCAGCUGGAGGAUGAAUGUUUGAAGGGGUACGCAGCUGGAGGAUGAAUGUUUGAAGGGGUACGCAGCUGGAGGAUGAAUGUUUGAAGGGGUGUGCAGCUGGAGGAUGAAUGUUUGAAGGGGUGUGGGACUAUGAGAAGUUUGGGAACCACUGAUCUAAAGGAUCGUUGUCCCUAUACCGGGACGGUUGAGCUAACGUGCACUAAUGUGAUUAGCAUGACAGUUGUACGUAACAGCAAACAAAGUAACUCCCCC
rnacentral:lncRNA from 1 species